UCUGCCUGUCGCUAUCUGAACGGUGCAACUGUAAAUUAACUUCACCUUAAAAACUUUAUUUGAACUACCGAUCGAAUUCAGAAACAAGCUGGUGAUGUGACAGGCUAGCUAGCAGGAGGCUCCAGAGUUAAUGCUGAGGCAUUUGCCAGAGCUCCUACCCAGCACAGUGAGACCUUUUGGGCCACAGAGAGCGCCACCACCCGGUCAAAAGUAUGGUUCUCUGACCUUUCAAAGUAUUAAGGGGGGAUGCUUUGGAGAUGUGUGGCCACCAAUUGUGCACCCUUCACAGGCCACAGAGAGCACCACAAUCUGGUCAAAAUUAUGGUUCUCUGACUUUUUACAGUAUUGUGAACAUUGCGCAAAUUUCCCGGGCCACAGGCAAAGGUCUGACAGAGAGACCAACACAGAGCCUUUCCUUUCAGCUGGUGAGGCCGACGCUGCAGAAACAAUCCAGGCAGCAGAAGACAAGAUAUCUUCAUGGAGGAGAUUGUUAGAGGAGAGAUUAAGACAUCCUGUCAUACCUUAGUCAUUGUUCUGUUUUAAGCUAACUUUAAGCUAGAGCUAUAAUUAGCAAAUAUGGUAGUUUGGGGCAACAUGUCUCAGUCAUUUUGGGGUCAGUUGUCACAUGUUUAAAAGGGAUUCAAGUUAACAUAGAGAGUGCUUAUCAGCAGUUGUCAUAUUGAAAAUUUGACUUUAUUUUUACUGAGAAAGGAGUGGUUUAAAGGAGAGGAGAAAGCGAGAAACCAUGGUCAGGAAUUUCAAAAGAAAAACAGAACAAGGCAGUGCAGUACCUGACGUGAUGCUGAGGGGAGUCAGGCAGGUGACCCUAGCUAAUAAAUCAAUCUGGACUACAAUAAAGAACUUUAAUGUCGACUACCAUACCUUGGCUUGGAACUGUAAAACAUUCACCCCAGCCGAAAUACAGAGUCAGACGGCUCUCCAAACUCCAGAGCAUGUUGCACUAUAUUUUGUUAACAUUUGUUCAAUGACUUUUUCUAGCUCAAUGAUAAGCAUUUUCUGUGCCUGACUUUGAUGUUCACUUUCAUGUAAAAAAAAAAAAAAAUGAGAAAAACAAAAAUUUUGUCCUUGUUUUAUUAGCUGCAAAAUCUACUGUGACAUCUUACCUCAUAUAGUGUGACAACUUACCUGAUGGUGGGGCAACAUGUCAUAUGUUCACAAUCUUUAUUUGAUUGCUUAUAACUCUGCACUGACUCUAGAUAUGAAAAUGACAUGAAUAUAAAAUAUAUACCUGAGACUUUGGUCUUUUAUCUGGUACACAUUUUGUUUAUGUAUGAUUUAAUAAUUCCAAGAAAUAUAUAAUAGUAUAAAAAGUGUGACAACAAGCCCCGGUCUCCCCUACACACUGCACCCACCUGCAGGCUCUGACCUUAGGGUUUAAAAUACUGUCCCAUUGAAUGAUGAAAACAAGCCUAGAAAACAAUUAUAAACAGAAUACUGCUGCUGCAGUAAAAGUUUGAAACAACAUGAGCCAUCUGACUGAAAUAAUUACAGUUUGGUCAGAAUUAAAAGUAAAACAGCAACCCUAAUAUUUCAUCCUGACUCUCCAUGCCUGGGAUUCUCCACAGGGUAAACAUCUCCAGGCUCAGGUGAUCAAGUUUCAUCACUCAAAAUAUCAGUUGUUGCGGACAUCAUUCUCACACCACGCUCUCUAUAAUAUGAAGGGUUUGUUAAAAAAAGAAGAGACACUCUGCCAAUGUGCCUUUGAGAAGUGAAAGUCUGGAGAAGAUGUCUUCAGUCUGCAGCAGUGACUCUGCAGGCUGGGAUGGCUGCUACUAAUCUAAGUGGAUCCACUGAGAGUUUGUGUUUUUGGCUCUGAUUGUUAAUUUUUUGCUCUCAUUCUCUAACUGUGUCUCUCUGUAUUGGGUUCUCCGUCACACACUGCUCUCCACCUGCCCCCCAGCUGUGCCACCCCUCCCACUACCUCUCCGUGUGGUGGGAGUCUGGUAAACACGAACGGGACCUCCUCAUUGGAGCCACACGCCAUGGCUUGAGCAGGGCAGACUUUUAAAUCCUGAACGACCCCCAGCUGAGCUUCCUGGAGGCUCAAAGGAACUAUGUCAGGGGUUGCCCGUACUACCUUCAUGCUCAAAGUAAUCACCAUCUGCCGCACCUGGGGUUAACGACUCAUCCCAGCAUCUCAUCUUCAUCCAAGUCCUCCUCGUCUCACCCUCACUGUUGCCUCUAUGACUCCAGUCCGGGUCAACACUCCCCUCAUAUAUAUAUAUAUAAAUAUAUAUAUAUAUAUAUUUAUCUCGUUUGAUACAUUAGAUGUUUUUGGAAACUGAUAAAAACCACAAGAGGGUAUUUUCAUCAUUUACUGGACUGUAUUCAGGUGUUAUUUCAGUAAUUUGUUGAUCAUAUUAUCAUAUUGAUUUGAUAGAGGUAUCAUAAAAGUAUGUAUUAAAUAUGACACAAAAGGAAUUAAAGGGUUAAUGAUGAUACAGAUGACACUGGUAAGUUCCAUAGGCAUCAGUCUCAAGCCAAAAAGCCAAACUCAGCUGACAACUUUGUUUCAUUGUUUUAGGAAAUAUUUUUCAUCUGUUAAACACAAAUACACAAUUCUUUCCAUCCCUGCAGGCUCCCUGAGACAGCUCAGACCACUCCAGUCCAGCCAACGACAUGUUCAAUGAAUCUGAUCCUAUCCUUGGUCCUUCCACUAUGGAGGCCAGUUUCCUUGAGGAGGACGAGGAGGUGCAGGGUGGAAACAGAGAAGGGGAGGAAGAGUGUCUAGGCCUUCCCCCCCUUUCACCUCUACCUCUCACCCGUCUACAGGAGACUCUGUGGAGCCGCUGAGCUCCAGCAACAUGCUUUUCAAGGUGGGUUUGUAUUUCUUUUGCCAUCAGAUGGACAAGUGGCUUACAGAGCGGCUGUAAAGUCUUCACAAACAGGCAGAAACUUAGAGUGAACUUGUUCCUGUUUGAUGAGGCCUAGACGAUAUCAAAAAACCCAAUGUAGGUCAAAGGGCAUGGCCAUGGCGCCAUUUUCACUUUGAUGUUUUUACACCAUAAAUGAGCCACAACACUUUAAGGCAAUCACAAGCACCAGCCAUCACAACUGUCCUGGCUGCCAUGGAGUGCACUGCUUGGGGGAUGAGGGCGUGACAGGGUGGUGGUCUACUGAGGAGGCGUUUCACAGAGGUGGCUGUGCGACACAGCUUGGGCUGGUUGGUGCCCCGUGAAGUGCUAGUUAUUGAUGUUGUUGUUAUAACAAUAGUAAUAAUAAUAAUGAUUAAUAAAAUAAAUGAAAGGCUUUGCCGCCGACCCACAGCUCCACAUCAGCGUUAAAGAACAUAAAAGCCUUCAGCCUGUACACACUGGGUUUUGUUUAAUGAACACUAACCAACAGGCUGUUCUGACACUGAGUGCUCUCUGUUUCAUAAUAACACCAGCUGCAGUGACAAAGUUUAUAACACUUCCAUACAAAGUGCUGCCACUGUUCCUAAAAUUUCCUCUGGGUCACUGUGUCAGAUAAACUGCUGCCCUGCAUUUUAUCUUAAUCACCAUCACUUCCUGUUACUGAGUCACAAGUUUCCUUGUACGUCAGUUAAAUUACUGUGUCUGAUUCAUCAGAUAAAAUCUGUUGUAGCCUGAAAAGUUAAAAGAAAAUACAGAUAUGAGCUUUUCACUAAGUCUCUAUAUGUCAGGAUACAUUUCUAAAGUUGUAUUUACCAAAAGAGUUAAGAUUAAAGAUUAAAUGACUCAAAGACAAAGUCAAUCUCAUGUCUGAAGAGCUCUGAUCCAGUUUAAACAGGCUGCACUUUUUAUCCAUCCGACUGAGUUCAGGGGGGUAAGCAGUCACCCUCACUGGUAAACUCUCCCUGGAGACUAAACAGGAUUCAAGGAUCUUCCGGACUUGCUGGUUUGUUUUUCUCUCACAUUUUUCCACUGCGACCCCAGGAGCUGAGCCACAAAUAACUUUCCACACAGUUGAACAAAUAUGAGACUGCUGGUUGAUUAUAUUCUUUGAAUGUGAUCCAGAACAAGGAAAACGGCAUCCAUUGCCUCAGAAAUGACAAAGAAAUGUUACAAUAAAUAAUAAUUUUCAUUAGAUCGAUCAAAGGUUUUAAUAAAUGUGAUAAACUAACUGUUAAAUGUUUCACACGCUGUUAAUGUAACACUUAAAUCCAUUUGUAUACAAAAUUACUCGUUAUAGAAGAAAAUUUGGCCUUUGUGAAAACAGAGAUUGAAGGUACAGACUCUCUUUUAAAUCGAGUGUUAGGGCCUCAUCAGACAAAAUCAUUAUUUUUUUAUGAUUUCAAAAAGAAAGUCAUAAUGUCUCUUGAUCUGUAACGUUAUGGGGAAAAAAGUCAUUAAAAUACAAGGAAAUAGUUAUGAUACAAAAAAGUCAAGUUGUCUGUAGUAUCAGGUUGUAAUGUGGUAGAAAAAUUUUGUCAUGUGACUGGAAUAAAGUCAUGAUGUUACAGGAAUAAAGUCUGAAUAUGAGGACAGUAAAAUCAUAAUGUUUCAUUUCAAAAAGUACAAGGGAGGUAAAGUUGUACUUUGUUCCUUGAAUAAAGUCAGAAUUGAUCAGAUAUUUAAAAGUCUCUAAGAGAAAACAGGUAUAUGUAAAUAUUUUCAUUCUGUCACAAGAACACAGCCGUACAAGUAAACUCAUGAUGUUUUCAGAGGAAAAUUAUUAAAUAAGAAAAAAUAAAUUAAAGUGAAUAGUGUCCCUUUGUUACGAGGAAACAGUUGUAGGAACAUACAGCGACCAUAGAGUCAGUAUGCUUCAUGAAAAAGGUCAGAGUUACAAGAAUAAGUGGAAAUGAUAAAUAAAGUAAUUAGUAGACUAAAGUUGUUAAGUUGGUUUAUGGUGAGCUGCAGGAACAUGUAGUGUUUUGUUAGGUUGUACUUUAGUAAAGUAUUCACUUGUAAUCAAAUACCUCAUCCUUUUUGUCGAAGUAUCAGGUCAGUUUCAGAAUCGUAAUCAAAACCCAAAAACUUUAAUCCUCUAAUAUAAUGGCUUUAUUCUUAAAAUCUCAAAAUCUCAACAUUUAUUUUUUUUUAUGUGGCUCUUAUACUUUGUCGGACAGUUUAGCUUAACCUUCUAAGAUAAAAUAAGACAUUCAAAAUGAUCCUGUAUUAGAUGAUCCUAAAGAAGAAAUUCAGUGACAAAAGAAAAGCAGGUUAUAGAGACUGAACAGUUUUUAAGCUGCUUUUAAGGGUGUCAAAGUUUCGAGCAGUUUGCUUCAGUUUCAGGCAGUACAGGGUCUUAAGCUGCUUCACCAUAUUUAGUCAGGACUCUAUCUGGACCAGAGGACCACAGUAAACAGAUCUGAGGACCCUGAUUGGGUGAUAGAUUUAAAAAAAUGUCAGAAAUAUAUUCUGGGUCAGCUCAGUGACUGUAAACUGGAAGCCAGUAUAAAGGAGUAAAAACCAGAGUGACAGUGAAGAAAGGUUAUUCAGCAUUAUUCAGCAUUAUUUUGAUUUAAUUUAAUGUCUGAAGUGUGUUGACAAUAACUUAUCAAACGAUAAUAUGAAGAAGACACAGGAUGAAUGUUUCGUUAACCACGUUUCUGUGAGAAUAUAAGAGCUAUUUUGUUAAUACUGAUGAUGAUGAUGAUGAUUGAGGAUGCUCAUUUUCCUGGUCGUACUGACGAAUCUAUGCUUCAAUAGACAUCCUGGCAGCAUCUGUAUAAAUAGGCGAUUAUGUGAUUGGGGGCGUGUCCUUCUGCCGUGACGUCAGCGUAGGGUCCAGACAGGAGCUGCAUCAAGUCAGAGGAAUUGAGCAGAACUGAAACAGGAAACGAGAGGGAGCAUUUUCAAAAUAAAAGCAUUUAAAAUGCGGUGCGGGAUUUGACAAGAAUUGUGUGUCUGCAAGAACUGACCCUGUUUUAGUGUCACUUUUGGGUUAUGAGUUCAGUAAGAUCAUGUAUAUGUUUUUACAACGCAUAUUCAUAGUUAUGUUAUGACCUGAUGCAUUGCUAUUUAGUUAUUUAACUCACUGUGAAACAAAGAUAUGUAAAUGCCACAUGUUUUUUAAAUGUUUGCAUCACAUUUUCAACUUUGAGGAGCUGCAUCCUCUUGGGGGCCAGCAUUGUUCUCAGGCUGUUUGGAGUGCAGUUGUACCUUUAAAAGUUCACCAAAGCAAAGAAAACAUUAUUGCAUUAAGAUCUAAUUUUUGAAGCACUUGGAAGAUUUUCAGCCUUUUGUCCCAGAGCCUACUCCCCUUGUAUGAAGUAAAGCAAGGUCUCUCUGAGCCCCUCACAGAAAAAUUGUCAAAUUCUAUUUUUGGGUAAAUUUGGCUUAAAAUCACAUUGAUCCUCACAUACCACCAUUAUUUUUUAAUAAAUGAAAAAAAUUGGAAACAAAAUAACAUAGCCUCUUGUAGGCGUCCAUGCUCUGAUAUCUAUGACAUAAUCCAAUUGCAUUGACUCAUUGAUCAUUAAAAAUCCACAUGGAACUUGGAAAUAUGUGAUCAAAUAUUAUGGAAUUAGUAAUAGUAUUAUGGUAUCAGUUGUCCGGUAUUUGUUCUUUGUGCAAUUUUCAUUAACAUUUAUAUUGAGUAAAAUCAAUUCAAUACUAUAGCACUUCAAGCUAGGAAUCAGUCUGGGUAUUUGAGUCAGGCAGCAUCACAUGUGCACAGUUUGACCUAUGUUGGAGCAUGCACAGUCGGAUAUUUACCUCAGUUUUAGUAUUCAACACAAAUUACUUUUGCAUGUGAGAUCACUUAAUUUCUUUUACAAACUGAGGUCCAAGUGAGGUCCAACUGACUCAAGUGUCUACAAAGGUCUGGGGCCUACUCUACGAAGCAGGAUUACUGCUUAGUGAGGUAACUUUGAGGGUAAGUUCGGGGUUUCCUGUUCUACGACGUGGGUUCACUUCUUAGCGAGGCGAGUCUCCGUGGCAACGUACGCUGAACGGCUAACCUGGGGCCUUUUCUACGAAGCAGGAUUACUGCUUAGCGAGAUAACUUCGAGGGUAAGUUCGGGGUUUCCUGUUCUACGAUGCGGGUUCACUUCUUAGCGAGGCGAGUCUCCAUAGCAACAUACGCUGAACGGCUAACCUGCUCCGGGGCAGGUUAAGUUCCAGAUUGAAUUUACCGAGCAUAAAAACCCCACCCACUGACCAAUGAGCUCUCUCGAAAAACGGCUUGUCCGUUCUCAGAGGAUCCUGUAGACCUCGGUGCUUGUAUUGUCCGAGGAGGAGCACUCCGGCGCUCGAGAGUUUUCAGGGACUGCACAGACCCACUUACUUCUCCGGAUGACCACCUUUAUGGAAGGCUCAUAUGGCCUACAUAUCACACAAAACAUGUAAACACGAUAGGAAUGAACAAAUGAAUGAAUUCAUCUUGGAAAUUAAUGGGCAUGGGCUGCGUGAUCACAGACAACAUCUCGGUAGUAUUUAGUAGCAGCGCACCCCCCUUGUAAUAACCCCCGUAAAUACUGUUGUUCAGGACUGCUUACUUGUGCUUCCCGCCUACUGUAAUAACCGUUGUUCUAGCCCACAUGCAACAUUUUUGUUCUCAUUCAUGAAACGCUUAAAUCUGGGACAUUUUCGGGGACAGUUUUAGACGGGGACAGAUCAUCCAAUUCGGAGACUGUCCCCGGAAAUCGGGACGUCUGGUCACCUUAGUUAAAAGCGCAUGUUGAACAGUGCUAUUUCAGGGUGAUAAUGGCAUCAAAGAUUAAUUUUCUGCCUUCCGUGCUUUUGUAGUGGCUAUCGUGUUGCUUUUGAGGUUUGUGAUAGCUUUGAAUUCUUCAUACUUUCUCAUGAUCGUCUCCUGCUCCUCGUUUGUAAAGUCUGCGGUCCUUCACUCUCCGACCUGCUCUGACACUCCAGACUUGUCCAUGUUCGCGAUUGGUCAGAUGCGGCGGGCUCCACCUUAUUUGCGUGCACGUGCUCGUAGCAGAGCUGGAUCCACUUAUGAGGUUGAUAACCAGCGUCGUAAAAGCGCUUAGCGAGACUGCUGGCUACUGCGCUAAGUUGAGUAAGGUAACUCCAAGGCUACCUCGCUAGGUUGAACCUGCUUCGUAGAACAGGCCCCUGCUCUGGGGCAGGUUAGGUUCCAGAUUGAACUCACCGAGUAUAAAAACCCCGCCCACUGACCAAUGAGCUCUCUCGAAAAAGGGCUUGUCCGUUCUUGGAGGAUCCUAUAGACCUCAAUGCUCGCAUUGUCCGAGGAGCACUCCGGCUUGCGAGAGUUUUCAGAGACCGCACGGACCCACUUACUUUUCCGGAUGACCACCUUUAUGAAAGACUCAUAUGGCCUACAUAUCACACAAAAAAUGUAAACAUGAUAGGAAUGAACAAAUGAAUGAAUUCAUCUUGGAAAUGAAUUAGACAUGUCUGGUGCAUGUACAAAGCGCACGUUGAACAGUGCUAUUUCAGGGUGAUUAAGGCAUCAAAGAUUUUUUGUGCACUAUACUUACGCAUUGAGACUGUUGGCAAUUUUCUGGCAGCAUUCCUUCCGUGCUUUUGCAGCGGCGAUGGUGUUGCUUUUGAGGUUUAUGAUAGAUUUGAAUUCUUCAUACUUUCUCAUGAUUGUCUCCUGUUCCUUGUUUGUAAAGUACGCGGUCCUUCGCUCUCUGACCUGCUCUGACGCUCCAGACUGAUCCAUGUUCUCGAUUGGUCAAAUGCGGCAGGCUCCACCUCACAUGGAUGCACGCGCUCAUAGCAAAGCUGGAUCCACUUACGAGGUUGAUAACCAGCGUCGUAAGACCGUUUAGCGAGACUGCUGGCUACCACACUAAGUUGAGCGAGGUAACUCCAAGGCUACCUCGCUCGGUUGAACUUGCUUCGUAGAACAGGCCCCUGAUAAGUCUGCAGAUGAUUGCCUCCUUAACAUAUCACUAAAUUCUUACAGCCACUAAGUGUUUGCUACACUCAGAGCAUACAGAGAGCCCAGAUCAACAACCCCAACAACAACAACAACAACA